UUUUUAUUAUAUAAAUAUAAUUUGCUCCCUGCUAACUAGUAAAGAGCCGCGUAAGUGCUAAGGUAGCAUAAUCAGUAGAUUAUUUAUUGUAAUCUUGUAUGAAAAAUUAAACUUUAAAGCUAAUAAAAUUAAUAUAAUUAAAAUUAAUUUUUAAGUGAAAAAUCUUAAAUAAUAUUUUUAGACGAGAAGACCCUAAAACUUUAAAUAAUUUUUAUUGGGACAAUAAUUAGUAAUAAUAAUAAUCAUUAGUGCUUUAAAGCUUCGACCCUAAAAAGUUUAAUAAAAGUACUUUAGGGAUAACAGCAUAA
rnacentral:rRNA from 1 species